UCUCUACUCGCAUUCGCAACCGGAUGAGAAGAUGGAGAGGGGAAUGCGAGAGAAAGGUUGAGGGAUUCCGGUGUAUAGUUACCAUGAAAAAGCACGAGCAAAGAGUCGACGAAAACGGUGCUACAAAACCGAAUACUAAAUGUCUACUGUUCUCUCUCAUUCUCAACGGAUUUUUGGAUGCCAGACGUUUGCUCUGUACACCCGCAUACCUGUCUACUUGGUCGUGUUUGAAACAGAAUAUAGAUGAAGGUUUUCAACGAGAAAAGACAGAUUGUAAAACGAUAAAAGUUAUUUGAAAGACAGAAUAGCAAUCACUGGAUUUUCGUUAGAUGGUUCAUGUACUCUAACGAUUUCAAUCUCAAAAUUAUGGGCAGCUAUUCUACACUUUCAACUAAUAAAUUCAAGAUUUUUAUUUUUAUUGUGAGAAAAAAUGAUGGAAUAUUCAUCAAAG